rnacentral:rRNA from 1 species
GACAGAGGUGGCAAGCGUUGUUCGGAAUUACUGGGCUUAAAGGGCGAGUAGGCGGUGAGACAAGUCUGAGGUGGAAUCCUAUGGCUUAACCAUAGAAUUGCCUUGGAAACUGUCUUACUUGAGUCAGUGAGGGGAGGGCGGAAUUCCCGGUGUAGCGGUGAAAUGCGUAGAUAUCGGGAGGAAGGCCGGUGGCGAAGGCGGCCCUCUGGCGCUGAACUGACGCUGAGGCGCGAAAGCGUGGGGAG